rnacentral:pre_miRNA from 1 species
UUCUUGUCUUGGAUUUGUCUAGAUACAGAUGUAUCUAAUACUAAAAUGUGACUUGAUACAUCCGUAUCUAGACAAAUCUAGGACAAGAAUUUUGGGACGGAGGGAGUACUUU